AAAUUCGGGAGUAUCAUUAUUCAUGUAUCGUGUAUUUUUAUUAUGGACUAAAUUUGGUGAUGCGUAAUACUGUGGUUUGGCUGUAUGCGUAAACAUUACAUUUCAUUGUCAAUAAUUUAUUGGGGUCCUUGCUGGGUUAAAUUAGGAAAAAGUACAAUGUAAGAAAUGAUGCAUAAUAGACUCGUCGUAGAAUAAGCAGACAGGGUGCUAUGGCGCCGGCGAAUCUCAAAAUUACAUCGACAAAUAAUAAAUAUUCUAUAACACUGAGGUGUUAAGGCUUAUACCACCAUCGAACUAAUACCAUAUUAUGUCUUAAUAAUGACAAUAAUUCAAAAUCAUGUGAAGUUGUUUGAAAAUUGCACGGGGAUUCCGGAUUUUUGUAUGUGGAUACUGAAGCCUCCAUGAGUCUCCAACUCAAAAAUGUCUGGAUCGGUCUGCCAUCUAGCGUACAGUAUGCAAUUACAUCCACACAGUAACGCAGAGCUCAUCGUGAGAAUGUGAUAUGUUCCAGAAGUUCCUAACGCAGCAGCCACCGACUCCAUUUAUUACGUUGAGGAAAGACCUUCAAGAUUGGGACGAGAGCUGGACGGAGAGAGAGAGCGAAUGAGAGCGGAGGGAAGAAGGCUAUAGCACGAAAACGGCAAGAGGAAAAGAGAAAGUGGACAGUGGGACAUUAAAAGAAGAAGCACCAAGCGACGGCUUUUAUAGGCUAUAGUGGACGGGAAACAUCGGUACCUGAAUUUGGCAAACACCACACAGACAGGUGUAAGUGACCGGGCUACCUGACUGUGCCAUGUAAGUUAUAUUGCAGCUAGGCAGGAACUUUUCACCAAUUCACUAAGACCUCUCGACAGCACCGAUGAUUCAUGGACUGUACUCUUCACCCACGAUGCGUCUUUACUGUACUGCCGUAACUCGAAAACUCUGAUGUCAGAUCUGUAGAAUCAUCUUGGAAGUGAACUGUUCCCCAAAGCUGACAGGGAUAUCCUGGUGAGUUCCCACUACAAUGGAAUGAGGAGGACCUCCGUGCCACAUACCGAGCACCCACAGUGUUGUGAUGUCAUGUAAAAAAGUUAUUGUCUCUGUUUAAAGUUAAGUCACAGUAGCAUUUGUGACAUCACAUUAUCGCCAUCACAAAAGGUGUGACUAACUAUUAAACAAAAUAAAAAAUGCCAAAAAGACAUGUACAUAAGGCUUACCCAUCUUGGGUAGGUACUGUAGGUACUGUAGACCUCAUGGAUUUGUCCACACGGUAAGGAUUGCUGCUAGGUGUAAGGUCCGUGUCAGUGGUGCAAAGGCCCCGCAGACCAGUGUGAACGGUCUCCGCACGCUGGGCAUUGAUUGGACAUGUAAAAGUGACUGUCCAUUCGCUGAAAAUGACUGCUGAUGUCCCACAGUCAGAGGUCACAGGUCACAGGUCCUGUUGCGGGCUACUAUCACUGUGGUUGUCUUGGCCAUAAGUACGACAAGCUGUUGUUGAAGAUUUGUACUGGGGUAUAUAUAUAUAUGAUAGAGAGGAGUAACAUGCAUGUCCUUAACAUGCUCCAGGCUGUUCCACUCCUUCUCAUUCAUCUAACCAUGACCCCUUCCGUCGAGCAGCACACUUUACGCCGGUGCUCAGUAAAAACAAAGUACAUAUAUUGUUUUUAUUUUUAUAUGCCAUACAUAAAUUACAUUCUGAAGUUUGAAAUUAUUGUUUCAUUGUAAAUGUAAAUUUAUGGUCAUGUAUUUAAACCAAUGUGAAUCUGUG